rnacentral:misc_RNA from 1 species
GAUGAAGAACGUAGCGAAAUGCGAUAAGUAAUGUGAAUUUCAGAAUUCAGUGAAUCAUCGAAUCUUUGAACGCACAUUGCGCCCCCUGGUAUUCCGGGGGGCAUGCCUGUUCGAGCGUCAUUUCACCACUCAAGCCUCGCUUGGUAUUGGGCAACGCGGUCCGCCGCGUGCCUCAAAUCGACCGGCUGGGUCUUCUGUCCCCUAAGCGUUGUGGAAACUUUCGCUAAAGGGUGUUCGGGAGGCUACGCCGUAAAACAACCCCAUUUCUAAGGUUGACCUCGGAUCAGGUAGGGAUACCCGCUGAACUUAAGCAUAUCAAUAAGCGGAGGA